UUCACUUUGGACCAGUUGUCUCGGUUGUCCGUAUUUGUCUUGCAGAGCUCCCACUGCGGCUGUGUAUGGUGCCGGGUCAUACAUGUAUGAUUUGGCCAACUGCAGAGCACUCGGGAGCUUGAGCUGACCCAGGAGCACUUGAUAUUUAUAGUGUUCGCUGAGAUGAGUGUGACUGUUCAUCAAGUUGUCGAGUGCCAUCUUCAAAAGUGCAAAGUCACUUUCUUUACCACUCUCAAAGAAGGGAAGUGUUGGUUUGGGAAUGCCAUAGGAUGUAGCAAUCAAGACAAAGAGAGACAUGGUGGUGGAAUGACAGCGUCGAAAGAGCGGUGAAUGAGAAGAGGAGGUGCCAUAAAGUAUGGAAGAAAUCUAAAAGGGAGGCAGACCGAGUGCGGUAUGUAGAGGCAAGGAGGGCGUCACGGACAGCAGUGUGGGAGGCCCAAGAGACCAAGAGGAAAGAAUUUGCAAGUGAAUUGGAGAGUGAGAGAGGACAAAAGAGCUUCUUCAAGAUAGCGAAGCAAAUGGUUAAGGAGAGGCGUGAUGUGACCGGUGCAAACUGUGUGAAGGAUGAGGA